AACUUUUAGCAAUGGAUCUCUUGGUUCUGGCAUCGAUGAAGAACGCAGCGAAAUGCGAUACGUAGUGUGAAUUGCAGAAUUCAGUGAAUCAUCGAAUCUUUGAACGCACAUUGCGCCCCUUGGUAUCCCGAGGGGCAUGCCUGUUCGAGCGUCAUUUCACCCCUCAAGCCUGGCUUGGUGUUGGGCGACGUCCCCUUUAGGGACGCGACUCGAAACGCUCGGCGGCGUGGCACCGGCUUUAAGCGUAGCAGAAUCUUUCGCUUUGAAGGUCGGGGCCCCGUCUGCCGGAAGACCUACUCGCAAGGUUGACCUCGGAUCAGGCAGGGAUACCCGCUGAACUUAAGCAUAUCAAUAAGCGGAGGCU
rnacentral:misc_RNA from 1 species